rnacentral:antisense_RNA from 1 species
AUUAUCGCUUGUCAUUUCGUUUAUAUUAUCGCUUACCAUUUCGUUUAUAUUAUCGCUUGCCAUUUCGUUUAUAUU